AUCGGAGGAGGGGUCUUGGGUUUUCCCGCACGGAUCCGAGACCUCUUCUCCCGAUUUGAUCUUCACCGAGGGAGGGAAAAGCUUCCGGCUUCCUCCGCGGCCGGCCGGUUCCUCCCUCCGGCGCUCGUCUCUCCGGCGAGUCGCCUCUCCAAGCCGCCGCCGCCGUCCCCCCUCCCUAUACCCUCUUCUUCCACGAUCGUGCCUAGGGCACGAUCGUAAAAAGAGGGAUGGGCCCGGUCUUUUCGGGCCGGCCCAUCUCUCUUUCCUUUUUUUUUUCUCUUUUUUUU
rnacentral:lncRNA from 1 species